rnacentral:rRNA from 1 species
GACGAACGCUGGCGGCGUGCCUAAUACAUGCAAGUAGAACGCUGAAGUCUGGUGCUUGCACUAGACGGAUGAGUUGCGAACGGGUGAGUAACGCGUAGGUAACCUGCCUCAUAGAGGGGGAUAACGGCUGGAAACGGUCGCUAAUACCGCAUGGAAUGUUCGGAUGGCAUCGUCUGAACAUCAAAGAUUUAUCGCUGAAAGAUGGGCUCGCGUCUGAUUAGAUAGUUGGUGAGGUAACGGCUCACCAAGUCGACGAUCAGUAGCCGGACUGAGAGGUUGAACGGCCACAUUGGGACUGAGAUACGGCCCAG